AGGAAAAUCAGUCGCAGUGUCCCGGUAGCGCGUUGGACUUCUAAUCCAAAGGUCGUGGGUUCGAAUCCCACCUUGGGUGACCUA